UUACGUAUCCACGUAUCAACCCAAUCGUGAACUGUUUCCUGUCUGAUGAGGAUUUCUGCGACCAAUGCUCAACUCAAUGCAUGAUGGACUCGGUGGGUAGCAAGCAAUUUGCUUCUCCGGGCAGAGCUGGUCGGUCCUAGUCUUGCUUUCGCAGGGCUGGCUCAUUGGAUGUGGUUUUUCAUCAUGCGAACCAUUAACCCCUUGUACAAAAUUGAACUAAACUUGCUACCCGAUAAAAAGGGUGGUGAAGACCGAAAUUAAGAAACAACUCUUAACAACGGAUAUCUUGGUUCUCGUAUCGAUGAAGAACGCAGCGAAAUGCGAUACGUAAUGCGAAUUGCAGAAUUCAGUGAAUCAUCAAAUCUUUGAACGCAAAUGGCGCUCUCGGGAUAGGCCUGAGAGCACGCCUCUUUGAGUACCGAUUCCACCACAUCCAGUAAACAUGCUGGGAUAUUGAGCGUUCGCAGCCCUGCCUGCGUCGCUUUAAAGAACAAUGGGUUAAAUCGGGAUCUGCACUGGCGAAAGCCUAGAACAAUUUGAAGGCUUGCCCUUCUCUAUUGGCAUAUCUCAAGCGUGACGUGGGUAACUUCACAUUCAGUUGUGAACCCAUCCAAUACGUGACGCACUGGAAGCCAGUACGGCAAUUGUUUGAACAGGUAGUUCACGAUUGGCUCUACAACCAAAUCAUCUUUGAAUUAGAUCUCAAAUGAAGCGAGAAUACCCGCUGAACUUAAGCAUAUCAAUAAGCGGAGGAACUUGGUCAUUUAGAGGAAGUAAAAGUCGUAACAAGGUUUCCGUAGGUGAACCUGCGGAAGGAUCACUAUUGAUUUUAGUUAUUUGUGAACGUACUACGAACAAACAAAAAAUAUUAUAGUCAAAAAAAAAUUAAAUCA
rnacentral:misc_RNA from 1 species